AUCGCUUCUCGGCCUUUUGGCGACGAUCAAGUGUAGUACCUGUUCUUAUCAGUUUAAAAGAAAAUAUAGACAAGAUCCAUCUAAGUAGCUCAGUUGGUAAUGUGUCUGCCUUUGGCUCAGGUCAUGGUCUCAGGGUCCUGGGAUGGAGCCCCACAUUGGGCUCCCUGCUCUCUUGCCCCUCCCCCCCACAAACUCAAU